rnacentral:lncRNA from 1 species
GAGCGUAAGCAGUUUAUUUGGGAGGAGAUCCCAGGAAGCAUGGCUGAGAGAUCGCAGAAGUGAGAAAAGGAGCGAAUGGUGCAAUCGAGGGGAUGCUAUUAAGCAGGUUCCUGCUGUAGGCAACCGAUGCCCCCUCCCGCCGGAGAGCUCAGGAGCCACCGCAGAAUUUUUCUGAGUUGCUCCACAGGAAGCGCAGUAAAUAGUCUCCAAUUCUCUCCUGUCAUGGGUUAGACAUCAAUCACCGAGUGUUUCUGGACUAUUUGCGGAUCUAGAUUGAGCCCCCGGGUGGAGGGAUACAGGCGCUCCAGGAAGAUGCAGGCGGCAGGCGCGGGAUCAACGUGGGCAGAAGGUGUGUGGGCGAGGUCACUGCACCGCGGGGGGCCCAUGAAGAGCUUAGAAGGAUAGAAGAAAAAGAUGUUUUUCCUCUCCUGUACAACCUACAUGAAGUUCUUAUGGAUCGUCUGAAAUUUGCUUCUACCCUCUCUCAAGAGCUGGGAGGACAAACAGUGCUCAUGGAAGAAGGCUGACGUGGUACACAGAAAGCCACCCACAUCUGGUAUUCCAAUGAGACGGUGGUUUAGGAAAUAAAUAUGGAGGACGCCCAAGGAAGAGACGAACG